rnacentral:rRNA from 1 species
CCAGACUCCUACGGGAGGCAGCAGUCGGGAAUAUUGCGCAAUGGAGGAAACUCUGACGCAGUGACGCCGCGUAUAGGAAGAAGGUUUUCGGAUUGUAAACUAUUGUCGUGAGGGAAGAAGAUGACAGUACCUCAGGAGGAAGCUCUGGCUGACUAUGUGCCAGCAGCCGCGGUAAUACAUAGGGAGCAAGCGUUAUCCGGAAUUAUUGGGUGUAAAGGGUGCGUAGACGGGAAAUUAAGUUAGUUGUGAAAUCCCUUGGCUUAACUGAGGAACUGCAACUAAAACUGAUUUUCUUGAGUACUGGAGAGGAAAGUGGAAUUCCUAGUGUAGCGGUGAAAUGCGUAGAUAUUAGGAGGAACACCAGUGGCGAAGGCGGCUUGCUGGACGAUGACUGACGUUGAGGCUCGAAAGCGUGGGGAGCAAACAGGAUUAGAUACCCCAGUAAC